GACAGAGGCCCCAAGCGUUAGGCGGAAUCACUGGGCUUAAAGCGUGUGUAGGCGGAUCGUUAAGUGUCUUGUGAAAUCCCACGGCUCACCCGUGGAACUGCUGGGCAUACUGGCGAUCUUGGGCCAACUAGGGGCAGUCGGAACAAGCGGUGGAGCGGUGAAAUGCGUAGAUAUUCGGAAGAACACCGGUGGCGAAGGCGGCAUUCUGGACCGAUAUUGACGCUGAGGAGCGAAAGCCAGGGGAGCAAACGGG
rnacentral:rRNA from 1 species